AUUGAACGCUGGCGGCAGGCCUAACACAUGCAAGUCGAGCGGAUGAAGGGAGCUUGCUCCUGGAUUCAGCGGCGGACGGGUGAGUAAUGCCUAGGAAUCUGCCUGGUAGUGGGGGAUAACGUCCGGAAACGGGCGCUAAUACCGCAUACGUCCUGAGGGAGAAAGUGGGGAAUCUUCGGACCUCACGCUAUCAGAUGAGCCUAGGUCGGAUUAGCUAGUUGGUGGGGUAAAGGCCUACCAAGGCGACGAUCCGUAACUGGUCUGAGAGGAUGAUCAGUCACACUGGAACUGAGACACGGUCCAGACUCCUACGGGAGGCAGCAGUGGGGAAUAUUGGACAAAGGGCGAAAGCCUGAUCCAGCCAUGCCGCGUGUGUGAAGAAGGUCUUCGGAUUGUAAAGCACUUUAAGUUGGGAGGAAGGGCAGUAAGUUAAUACCUUGCUGUUUUGACGUUACCAACAGAAUAAGCACCGGCUAACUUCGUG
rnacentral:rRNA from 1 species